rnacentral:rRNA from 1 species
GAGACUGACCGGUGACGAAACCGGAGGAAGGUGGGGAUGACGUCAAGUCCUCAUUGGCCCUUAUGGGUAGGGCUUCACACGUCAUACAAUGGUCGGUACAGAGGGUUGCCAAGCCGCGAGGUGGAGCCAAUCCCUUAAAGCCGAUCGUAGUCCGGAUCGUAGUCUGCAACUCGACUACGUGAAGUCGGAAUCGCUAGUAAUCGCAGAUCAGCAUGCUGCGGUGAAUACGUUCCCGGGUCGUU